rnacentral:rRNA from 1 species
GAUGAACGCUGGCGGCGUGCCUAAUACAUGCAAGUCGAGCGAACAGACGAGGAGCUUGCUCCUCUGACGUUAGCGGCGGACGGGUGAGUAACACGUGGAUAACCUACUUAUAAGACGGGGAUAACUUCGGGAAACCGGAGCUAAUACCGGAUAAUAUAUUGAACCGCAUGGUUCAAUAGUGAAUGACGGCUUUGCUGUCACUUAUAGAUGGUUCCGCGCUGCAUUAGCUAGUUGGUAAGGUAACGGCUUACCAAGGCAACGAUGCGUAGCCGAACUGAGAGGGUGAUCGGCCACACUGGAACUGAGACACGGUCCAGACUCCUACGGGAGGCAGCAGUAGGGAAUAUUGCGCAAUGGGCGCAAGCCUGACGGAGCAACGCCGCGUGAGUGAUGAAGGCCUUCGGAUCGUAAAGCUCUGUUAUUGGGGAAGAACAGCUGUGUAAGUAAAUACGCCCGUCUUGACGGUACCUAAUCAGAAAGCAACGGCUAACUACGUG